rnacentral:rRNA from 1 species
GACAGAGGGUGCAAACGUUGCUCGGAAUUACUGGGCGUAAAGCGCGUGUAGGCGGAUCGGCAAGUCAGGUGUGAAAUCCCUGGGCUCAACCCAGGAACUGCACUUGAAACUGCCAGUCUUGAGUGACGGAGAGGGUCGCGGAAUUCCUGGUGUAGAGGUGAAAUUCGUAGAUAUCAGGAGGAACACCGGUGGCGAAGGCGGCGACCUGGACGUCUACUGACGCUGAGACGCGAAAGCGUGGGGAGCAAACAGG